GGAAAAGUGAGUAGAUCGUUAUAUAUCACAUUGAUUACACAAAGGAACCUUUAUGAUAUAUGAUGUAUUUAAUGUAUAUGGGAGCGAUUUCAGGUAAGUUGUUUUUCGCGUAACAGGUUCACUUUAAGAGACACAUGGACUAAGGAUCAGAAAAUGACUUCUCUCUCCCUGCAAGCUGGUCCAGAUGAUGUCAGUUAAUGCCAAUGAACCUCUGUGCUCUACCGCAG